CGGGAUGGGCCCGCGUCCCAUUAGCUAGUUGGAGGGGUAACGGCCCGCCAAGGCGAAGAUGGGUAGCCGGCCUGAGAGGGCGAACGGCCACACUGGGACUGAGAUACGGCCCAGACUCCUACGGGAGGCAGCAGCUAAGAAUAUUCCGCAAUGGACGAAAGUCUGACGGAGCGACGCCGCGUGGAUGACGAAGGCCGAAAGGUUGUAAAAUCCUUUUGCGGGCGAAGAAUAAGCGGGGCAGGGAAUGGCUCUGCGAUGACGUUAGCCCGUGAAGAAGCCCCGGCUAAUUACGUGCCAGCAGCCGCGGUAACACGUAAGGGGCGAGCGUUGUUCGGAAUUAUUGGGCGUAAAGAGCUCGUAGGUGGUUGAUUGCGUCUGGCGUGAAAGCUCAUGGCUUAAACUGUGGGUUUGCGUUGGGUACGGGUUGACUGGAGUGCUGUAGGGGUAACUGGAAUUCCUGGUGUAGCGGUGGAAUGCGCAGAUAUCAGGAGGAACACCGAUGGCGAAGGCAGGUUACUGGGCAGUUACUGACGCUGAGGAGCGAAAGCAUGGGGAGCGAACAGGAUUAGAUACCCUGGUAGUCCAUGCUGUAAACGUUGGGCACUAGAUGUGGGGGCCUUUGUUGGUUUCCGUGUCGUAGCUAACGCAUUAAGUGCCCCGCCUGGGGAGUACGGCCGCAAGGCUAAAACUCAAAGGAAUUGACGGGGGCCCGCACAAGCGGCGGAGCAUGCGGAUUAAUUCGAUGCAACGCGAAGAACCUUACCAAGGCUUGACAUCACCCGGAUCGCAGCAGAGAUGUUGUUUCCUUUUGGGCUGGGUGACAGGUGGUGCAUGGUUGUCGUCAGCUCGUGUCGUGAGAUGUUGGGUUAAGUCCCGCAACGAGCGCAACCCUUGUCUCAUGUUGCCAGCACGUUAUGGUGGGGACUCAUGGGAGACUGCCGGGGUUAACUCGGAGGAAGGUGGGGAUGACGUCAAAUCAUCAUGCCCCUUAUGUCUUGGGCUUCACGCAUGCUACAAUGGCUGGUACAGAGGGUUGCGAUAUCGUGAGGUGGAGCGAAUCCCUUAAAGCCAGUCUCAGUUCGGAUUGGGGUCUGCAACUCGACCCCAUGAAGUCGGAGUCGCUAGUAAUCGCAGAUCAGCAACGCUGCGGUGAAUACGUUCCCGGGCCUUGUACACACCGCCCGUCAAGUCACGAAAGUUGGUAACACCCGAAGCCCACGGCCCAACCAGUAAUGGGGGGAGUGGUCGAAGGUGGGACUGGCGAUUGGGACUAAGUCGUAACAAGGUA
rnacentral:rRNA from 1 species